rnacentral:rRNA from 1 species
GAUUAACGCUAGCGGCAGGCAUAAUACAUGCAAGUUGAACGGCAGCACAGGUAGCAAUACUGGGUGGCGAGUGGCGCACGGGUGCGUAACACGUAUGCAACCUACCCUAUACAGGCGAAUAACCUUUAGAAAUGAGGGCUAAUACGCCGUAGUAUUACAGAUGGGCAUCUAUUUGUAAUUAAAGAUUUAUCGGUAUAGGAUGGGCAUGCGUCCCAUUAGUUAGUUGGUAAGGUAACGGCUUACCAAGACGAUGAUGGGUAGGGGAUCUGAGAGGACUUACCCCCACACUGGUACUGAGACACGGACCAGACUCCUACGGGAGGCAGCAGUAAGGAAUAUUGGGCAAUGGCCGCGAGGCUGACCCAGCCAUGCCGCGUGCAGGAAGGCGGCCUUAUGGGUUGUAAACUGCUUUUAUACGGGAAUAAUAGAGUGUACGCGUACAUUUAUGCAAGUAUCGUAUGAAUAAGCAUCGGCUAACUCCGUG